AAGGAUCAUUAGUGAAUUGAAUAUGUUAGCGGACCUCUUCGGAGUCCCUAGCAUCAAAUCAUAUCCAUAACACCUGUGAACUGUAAGGCUGUCUUGAAAACGAAAGUGAUUAGAGCGCCUGCCCAUUUUAUACAAACAUUAAAGUAACAAACGUAGUCUUAUUAUAAUCUAAUAAAACUUUCAACAACGGAUCUCUUGGCUCUC
rnacentral:misc_RNA from 1 species